UACGUAUUGUUCGAGCGUUAAUCGGAAUUACUGGGCGUAAAGUGUGCGCAGGCGGCCGCGCAAGUCGAGUGUGAAAUCCCCGAGCUUAACUUGGGAAUUGCGCUCGAAACUACGUGGCUGGAGUGUGGCAGAGGAAGGUGGAAUUCCACGUGUAGCGGUGAAAUGCGUAGAGAUGUGGAGGAACACCGAUGGCGAAGGCAGCCUUCUGGGCCAACACUGACGCUCAUGCACGAAAGCGUGGGGAGCAAACAGG
rnacentral:rRNA from 1 species